UACGUAGGGGGCAAGCGUUGUCCGGAAUUAUUGGGCGUAAAGAGCGCGUAGGCGGUCCGAUAAGUCGGCUGUGAAAGUCAAGGGCUCAACCCUUGGAAGCCGGCCGAUACUGUCGGACUAGAGUCCGGAAGAGGCGAGUGGAAUUCCCGGUGUAGCGGUGAAAUGCGCAGAUAUCAGGAGGAACACCGGUGGCGAAGGCGGGUCUCUGGGCCGAUACUGACGCUGAGGAGCGAAAGCGUGGGGAGCGAACAGG
rnacentral:rRNA from 1 species